rnacentral:rRNA from 1 species
AAGUCGAGGGGCAGCAUAGAAGUAGCAAUACUUUGGUGGCGACCGGCGCACGGGUGAGUAACGCGUAUGCAACCUACCUAUCAGAGGGGAAUAACCCGGCGAAAGUCGGACUAAUACCGCAUAAAACAGGGGCACCGCAUGGUGAUAUUUGUUAAAGAAAUUCGCUGAUAGAUGGGCAUGCGUUCCAUUAGGUAGUUGGUGAGGUAACGGCUCACCAAGCCGACGAUGGAUAGGGGAACUGAGAGGUUGGUCCCCCACACUGGUACUGAGACACGGACCAGACUCCUACGGGAGGCAGCAGUGAGGAAUAUUGGUCAAUGGGCGGGAGCCUGAACCAGCCAAGUCGCGUGAAGGAAGAAGGAUCUAUGGUUCGUAAACUUCUUUUGCAGGGGAAUAAAGUGCAGGACGUGUCCUGUUUUGUAUGUACCCUGAGAAUAAGGAUCGGCUAACUCCGUGCCAGCAGCCGCGGUAAUACGGAGGAUCCGAGCGUUAUCCGGAUUUAUUGGGUUUAAAGGGUGCGUAGGUGGUUUGAUAAGUCAGCGGUGAAAGUUUGCAGCUUAACUGUAAAAAUGCCGUUGAAACUGUCGGACUUGAGUGUAAAUGAGGUAGGCGGAAUGCGUGGUGUAGCGGUGAAAUGCAUAGAUAUCACGCAGAACUCCGAUUGCGAAGGCAGCUUACUAAGCUACAACUGACACUGAAGCACGAAAGCGUGGGGAUCAAACAGGAUUAGAUACCCUGGUAGUCCACGCAGUAAACGAUGAUUACUAGCUGUUUGCGAUACACAGUAAGCGGCACAGCGAAAGCGUUAAGUAAUCCACCU